rnacentral:lncRNA from 1 species
GUGCUGGGAUUACAGGCAUGAGCCACCGCGCCCGGCCUAGCUCCUCAUUUUCAGUGCAACACUGAAACAUCCCGAGGGAUCAAGCCCAAGCCACUUGCCUCCCAUCUUUCUGUUUCUCAUCUCCCACACACUCUUUUUUUGUUUUUUUUGAGACGGGAAUCUCGCUCUGUCACCCAGGCUGGAGUGCAGUGGUGCCACCUCCAUUCACCACAACCUCCACCUCCCGGGUUCAAGUGGUUCUCAUGCCUCAGCCUCCUGAGUAGCUGAGAUUACAGGCACCCGCCACUAAUUUAAAAAUUAAAUAUAAAAAUUAGCCUGCUGGCUAAUUUUUGUAUUUUUAGUAGAGAGGAGGUUUCACCAUGUUGACCAGGCUGGUCUCGAACGUCUGAUCUCAACUGAUCCGCCCGCCUCAGCCUCUGAAAGUGCUGGGAUUACAGGCGUGAGCCACCACGCCCAGACUCCCAUACUUUGUAAGCACCGACAUUUAUCUUUACAACUCUCCGUAGUUUUCUUUCUUCCAUUCCUAUUUUUCAUUUUCUUUUCUGCGGGGAAAAGGGAGUGGCUUUUUCUUUAUCACUGCUGUCAUGCCUGGUGAGACUGUCUGUAUUUUGGUCCUUUCCUUUGGCUGCCCCAGGAAUCAUCAUCAAUUAUGCCAACAUCUGUGACUUGCCACCUUCAAAGUGGGCUCUGAAUCCAAAGACAAAAGAUGGCCCUCUGGGCCAGACGUGGUGGCUCACACCUGUAAUCCCAGCACUUUGGGAGGCUGAAGCAGAAGAAUUGCUUGAGCGCAGAAGUUUGAGGCUGCAGUGAGCCAUAAUCACACCACUGCACUCCAGUCCAGGCGACAGAGCAAGACCAUAUCUCUAAAAAAUAAUAAUAAUAAAAACUUAAAAAAAAAAAGUAGGAAAAAAAAGGCCUCUCGUGUGAUUGUGCAUGUUUUGGCCAGCCUUUUCUAUACGUCAGACGUGGGGUCCGUGGCCUUGUUGGGGUGAAGGACUUUUAUUUCCACCUGUUGACAGGACAGCAGGAGGACUGCCUGCCCUUCCUGGUCUGACGGUUGCUGUGUUGUUCUCAAGAGCCUUCCUCCAGCAGCAGGGAGGGGAGGACUGGCUGUCUCAGAAUCUUUUAAAAGCCCUGCUGUCUGAGGACCUGCAUCACCCAGGAUUCCGUUUCAUUUCUCCAGCCACAAUCCCUGCCAGUGUUCUCUGCACUCUGGAUGAGAGACCUUAGGAAAGCAAAUCAGAUCGUAUCAC